CCCGAACUCAGAAUAAUCAUGAUUACCCGCUGAAUUUAA
rnacentral:rRNA from 1 species